rnacentral:ncRNA from 2 species
GAGGAACCCGGUGCGAAUCCGGGGCGGUCCCGCCACUGUCACCGGGGAGUGACCCCUCACCAGCAGGCCACGACCGCGCCAGCGGUGGGAAGGCCCGAGGGGAAGCGGCGAUCCGGGAGCCAGGAAACUC